AGAUUAUUUGCGCACAAAGAAAUUUGAGAUCUUAGAGAUCCUUACACCGACGCAUUGAGGCGGUGUGAGUGAAACCAAAUUUACGUAAAAAAAUUGUGUUUAUAAAUUUGGUGAUUUUGGUAUGCAACUCUCACGAGCUUGUCAAUUGAAUGGUGUUUUUGUAUGUUGGCUCAUUUAUGUAAAUAAUUGUGUUUUUAAUUAGGUGUUGUUCAGAAUCUAUUUUUAAAGAGUUUUUAUUUCAUGAAUUGUUACUAUUAUAUGCUUUUGCGAAGAGAUUUUAAGACUCUUUUUCCUCCAACCAGAUGCUACGUACAAGGGGCAUGCUAGUGUGUGUAUAUAUAUAUAUAUAUAUAUAUGUAUAAUCUUAUUGAACGGAUCAUGAACUAAGUACCAUUAAUUAACCUAAAACCAAUCAUGUCAAGGAAAACAUACAAUACUAAAAUCUUUUACGCCAUUAAUUCGGGAGUAACGCUAUUCAUCAUCUCAAUUCUUAU